AGGUCGUGGUGAGUGCAAUGUU
rnacentral:miRNA from 15 species